rnacentral:ncRNA from 1 species
UUUAAAUAAAGUUUUAUUUUAGCUUAAUAAAUUUAUUAUUAGUUUAUUUUACAUAUAAAUUUUUGUGUUAAAAUUUAAUUGUUUUAAAAAUAUUUAUUUUAAAUUUUAAUAGUAGUAAAUAACAUUAAUUUUUAUAAAAGAAAUUUUGAUUUAGUGAUUUAAAUAGUAUUAGUAAAAAUUGUGCCAGCAUCUGCGGUUAUACAAUUAAUAUAAAUAAAUUUUAUUAAUUAAAGUUAAAAUUUAUGUAAAAAUUUUUUUUAUAAAUUUAUUAAGUUAAAUUUUAAAUUUAUUUAAAAUUUAUUAAUAAAUUAAUAGAUUUUAUGCUUAAAAAUUUUAAUAAUAAACUAGGAUUAGAUACCCUAUUAUUUAAAAUGUAGAGAAACAAAAUUGAAUUAGUAUUAGUUAUGUUCUUGAAAAUUAAUAAAUUUGGCGGUAUUUUAUUCUACUCAGAGGAAUUUGUUUUAUAAUUGAUAGUACACAUUAAAUCUUACUUAAUUUAUUAAAAUUUGUAUAUCGUCGUCAUAAGAAUAUCUUAAAAGAGAUUAAAUAUUCUAAAAUUUUAAAUGAAAAUUAUGUCAGAUCAAGGUGCAGUUUAUAAUUAAGAAAAAAUGAAUUACAAUAAAUUUAUUUAUAUGAAUUUAUUAUUAAAAUAUGAUAUUGAAGGUGGAUUUGAAAGUAAAUUUAUAAAUAUAAAUAAAUUAAACAUAGUUUUAAAAUAUGCACAUAUCGCCCGUCGCUCUUAUUUAUAUAAGAUAAGUCGUAACAUAGUAAAAGUACUGGAAAGUGCUUUUAGACUCAA